rnacentral:rRNA from 1 species
GACGAACGCUGGCGGCGUGCUUAACACAUGCAAGUCGAACGCUGAAGCUCAGCUUUUGUUGGGUGGAUGAGUGGCGAACGGGUGAGUAACACGUGAGUAACCUGCCUCCUUCUUUGGGAUAACGCCCGGAAACGGGUGCUAAUACUGGAUAUUCACUGGUCUUCGCAUGGGGGUUGGUGGAAAGGGUUUUUCUGUGGGGGGUGGGCUCGGGGCCUAUCCGCUUGUUGGUGGGGUGAUGGCCUACCAAGGCUUUGACGGGUAGCCGGCCUGAGAGGGUGACCGGUCACAUUGGGACUGAGAUACGGCCCAGACUCCUACGGGAGGCAGCAGUGGGGAAUAUUGCACAAUGGGCGCAAGCCUGAUGCAGCGACGCCGCGUGAGGGAUGGAGGCCGUCGGGUUGUGAACCUCUUUCGCUCAUGGUCAAGCCGCAACAAUGGUUGUGGUGAGGGUAGUGGGUAAAGAAGCGCCGGCUAACUACGUG